UACGUAGGGCGCAAGCGUUGUCCGGAAUUACUGGCGUAAAGCGCGCGCAGGCGGCCCGCGAGGUGUCACGUGAAAGCCCCGGGCUCAACCCGGGAGGGUCGUGGCAAACCGGCGGCUUGAGGCCGGUAGAGGUGGGUGGAACUCCUGGUGGAGUGGUGAAAUGCGUAGAGAUCAGGAAGAACACCCGUGGCGAAGGCGGCCCACUGGGCCGGUACCUGGACGGCUGAGGCGCCGAAG
rnacentral:rRNA from 1 species